AUAAAGAUAGGAUCUAUUUUAUUGACAGGAUUUAUCACUACUUUAGCUACUUUAGUAGCUUGGCCAAUUACACGGAAUUCGUGAUUAUUCUAUUUCCUGAUGCUUGCUAUGUAUAGUGGUCAAAUAGGAUUAUUUUCUUUGCGAGACCUUUUACUAUUUUUUAUCAUGUGGGAGUUAGAAUUAAUUCUUGUUUACUUACUUUUAUCCGAGUGAAGCGGCCCCAGGUGUAACAUGUGGAAAUUGACAGGAUUUAUCGCUUCACUCGCAGCAAACCAUCAGGUUGCAUCGAUAUCAUAUCUUUAUCACCAAAAUAAAACAUGA
rnacentral:rRNA from 1 species